GGAAUGGAUGCUUGAUUAUGCACUUCAACAGGUUAUUUCUACACUAGCCCCAGCUCAGAAAAGAAAAGUAGCUUUGCUUUUUCAAGCAUUUGAAACGGUCAAUCCAUUACUGGAACCUGGUACCAGUCCGAGGUCUAGUGUAUCUGCUUCUUCACAUGCAUCUCCAGUUCAAACGGCUACUGCUUCCUCAUAUGAAAAGGGUUCUAGAAAAAGGAAAGAAACCAAUUUUGGAAUCUCUCUUCAUAAAUCAUCACGCCCUGACAUAAUUUACAAAGAUGAUCAAGACCAAGUCAGUGACUCCUGCACAGCAGAAGAGGAUGUUCCAGAGUCUUGUUCUGAGCUCAAUGAACCAAGCUCAGAAUCUGGUUCCACUCAUACAGCACCAACUAUUUUGACUUCUGAAUUCACUCCCACAGGCUUGAAGCAAAAGGGUGGAGAUCUCAAUCAUAGUAAUGGUGACCAAAAUUCCAUUGCCAAAGAUGAUGCCCCUGCAUCUAUUAAUUACUGUUUAGUGGAGCUAAGAGAAGCUAACUUACUUGACAAGCCUUCCCCGAAGUCAGCUGAUGUUGCAACUAGUUCUUAUGAUGAAGUUUCACUAAAUGGAGAAGUUCUCCAAGAAGUGCCUAAAGAAGUAAGUUUGCUUUCUGCUUCAGAAGUCCAAGAUCGCGAUUUUGAAUUCAACAGUGAAACAUUGGAGUCAGAUUGUCGAAUCAUUGUCACUGGUGAACGAUCAGAUGAACCCAAAAGCCAAAUCCCAAAAAAUUUUGAAGGAUCAAUUGCAGAUUACAAUGCACGCACUCCUGUUUCUGUCUCUAAACUGCAGGAAGAAUCAUCUAAAGCCACUGAAGGACAAACUGUGCUUCAAAAUAAGUUUUUCCAACAAUUUACUCCGCAUGAAGAAUCUAAAUUCAGUUCUGCUGAUUUAGCACAAGAAAAGCAGGUGGAAAAGCAGAAAAAUAUGAGACUUUGGUACUUAAUAUAUAAGCACAUGGUUUCAGGCAGUGCAAGUCUACUUGAGAAGGGGCCAGACAAGGAAGAACAAGCAGAUGAUGCCAACACAUCUUAUGGAAUGAAUAAUGAUUGUUCUCAUGAAGGUUUUUCUCAGGAUACAGAUAUGGAGAAUCAUAAUGCAGGCAGCCACAAGAUUGAACUCCAGCAGAUUGAAGCCAUAAGAAUGGUUGAAGAAGCAAUCGAUGAAAUACUGGUUCCAGGUAUUCAAGAUGACUCACCCAAUGAUCAUUCAGUCAGCAGUGAUGUAAUUCUAGACCAGGAGCACCUUGAAAAGCAACCUGAUAAAGGAGGGGAAUUUUACAUCUCAACUUACAUUGGUUGUCCCAAAGAGAGUUAUGGAGAAUCCAACAGUACAAAAGUGGAGCAGAGCUCCAUGCUGGAUCCAAAAGAACCAUGCCUGAAUUCUGAGAACAGUGCCACAGCGGAAAAAGAAAAAGCUGUAUUCAAGGAGGGAAAUAAACCUAAACCACCAGCGCAGAAGAGCUGGUGCAAUCUGAAAAAGCUGAUCCUUCUUAAGAGAUUCAUCAAGGCAUUGGAAAAGGUUGAAAAUAUAAAUUUGCGGGAGCCACGAUUCUUGCCCUUGGACCGUGAGAAGGAGGCAGAAAAAGUUCAUUUAAGGCAUCAAGAUAUGGAGGAUAGGAAAAAUGCUGAUGAAUGGAUGCUCGAUUAUGCACUUCAACAGGUUGUUGCUAAACUAACUCCAGCUCGGAAAAGAAAAGUGCAGUUGCUUGUGGAAGCUUUUGAGACAGUCAGUCCCGCUAUUGGAAGUUGAAAGAGGUAUGAUGAGAAGAAGCUAACAUUUGAUGCUCAUUUCAAGUGGCUCCAUAGCAUCAUUAAAAAUUUCAGCAAAAUUAUCAUUGCCAUUUGGGGAAUAGAGGUCAAUCAGACAGAUGCAAGUCAAAAUUUCAAUGGAAAUUUGUAAAGGUACAUGCUUUACAAACAUUUUUAGCAAUUUUUGGAGCCUCUUAGUACUUGUGGGGAAUGAUGGCAUAUAUAUGUAUAUAUAAUGUUCGCGGAGAUGUAUCCUGUAAGUUGUAUUUAUGUGUUAUUCAUUCAUUUUCAGUGGAUUUUAGAUGAUACAUUAACAAAAUAUAAGCAUUAAACGCCAUUGUUAUUAAAGGCAAAAUCAUGUUUCCGCAUAUUUUUAUGAAAUUAAGCCCUUAACUUUUUCAAUCCAGAAAAUGAUUGAAAAUACAUGCAACCCUGACAAAGAAAGCUGCCAUAAGACAUCCAUAAGCAUUACUACGUGACAGCUCUUCGGCUAUAAAAAUGAAGCAUUUCACCUCAUAAGAAAAGGAAAACAGAGAGGUUGACAGAAAGAGAGAUAGGAAGGGGAGACAAAGAAAGA
rnacentral:misc_RNA from 1 species